ncrna:unclassified sequences S15-Flavobacteria ribosomal protein leader
UACAUUUGCCACGUCAGUAAAAAAAUUACUGAUGUACAUAAAAAUCAUUUAAAUAAUAUUGGCAUG